CCUGCCCAGCUUUAUUUUUCAAAAGGUCACAAUCAACAUUCAUUGCUGUCGGUGGGUUUAACUGUGUGGACAAGCUCACUGAACAAUGAAUGCAACUGUGGCCCCACUU
rnacentral:miRNA from 1 species